AGCGAACGCUGGCGGCAGGCCUAACACAUGCAAGUCGAACGAACCUUUCGGGGUUAGUGGCGGACGGGUGAGUAACACGUGGGAACGUGCCUUUAGGUUCGGAAUAACUCAGGGAAACUUGUGCUAAUACCGAAUGUGCCCUUCGGGGGCAAGAUUUAUCGCCUUUAGAUCGGCCCGCGUCUGAUUGGCUAGUUGGUUGAGGUAAUGGCUCACCAAGGCGACGAUCAGUAGCUGGUCUGAGAGGAUGAUCAGCCACAUUGGGACUGAGACACGGCCCAAACUCCUACGGGAGGCAGCAGUGGGGAAUCUUGCGCAAUGGGCGAAAGCCUGACGCAGCCAUGCCGCGUGAAUGAUGAAGGUCUUAGGAUUGUAAAAUUCUUUCAACGGGGACGAUAAUGACGGUACCCGGAGAAGAAGCCCCGGCUAACUUCGUG
rnacentral:rRNA from 1 species